UACGAAGGGGGCAAGCGUUGUUCGGAAUUACUGGGCGUAAAGGGCGCGCAGGCGGCCAAUCAAGUCAGAUGUGAAAGCCCCGGGCUCAACCUGGGAAUAGCAUUUGGGACUGGUUGGCUAGAGAUCGGGAGAGGAGAGUGGAAUUCCCAGUGUAGAGGUGAAAUAACGUAGAGAUUGGGAAGAACACCAGUGGCGAAGGCGGCUAUCUGGACGGUUUCUGACGCUAAGACGCGAAAGCGUGGGGAGCAAACAGG
rnacentral:rRNA from 1 species